UUCCUAUUGCGCAGCCGUUGUUCUUCUUCGAGCCAUUUUCCCGUCCAGAAAAGCCGAAGACCCACCGCGAUAUGUUCGAUUUAGAUCGAGCGGUUGCCGAUUUUCACCCUGCGAUUGCCGGUAGCGUUCACAGCGACUCCGACUCAUCCUCCGUGGUUGAUUUCAAUUACCAUGACCGCAGUACCAGGCUGCUCAAUCUCGAUCUCAACCAUCCUCCAGCGGAAGUCGCUUGAUUUCAUCACUUUUACACCGUCCACGGCGACGAUAAUCGGAUCUCUAAAAUUUUCUUUUCCAUUUGAAUUGAAUUUCUCCUUUCCUUUAUUGCGUCUCGAAUCGAAACAGAUGACGAAGCAAUCUAGAGAGAAAGCAGCAGCCACGUUUGUAUUGAUGUGCUGAUCGAU
rnacentral:lncRNA from 1 species